rnacentral:lncRNA from 1 species
AGCUGAAGUUUUCGACCAAAAGCCAUAAGCUUGGAGCUAAUCAUCUAUGUAAAUGGUAUGUCACAGUACUGCCCAGGGCUCGUCUAUGUUCAGUAAGCAAAGAGAAAUUUGCCUAGAGACAAAGCAGAACUGAAGCAAGUUUCCUGCGUAGGAGAGGUAUUUCAGUGUAGCUCUGUGCAAGAAGAGUUGGAUGGACUUGAAAUCUGGUGUGGCUUUCAUCAGCUCUUGAGUUUGGCCCGUGGUGUGCAGCAGCCUUGUGGCAAGUGGAAGUGGGCAGCUGAGACCCAGUACAGUGGAGCUGCAGAGGGUAAAGCCAACAUGCUGAGAAGAUAUGUGCUGUCAGUCUGAAGCACCCUAGAAAUAAAAACAAGGGUUUUAAAAACA